CCCAUCAAUGGGCUUCAUCUGGCUGCAGUGCUGCACGGGAUUAGCUCGGGAGGAAUGUCUCCAAAGAAGUGUGUUUUUUGGUUGUAAGGAAAAGAUAACUUGUUCAGCUUCCUAAGGAGCCCAGCGUUAUGUAAACAGUGGAUACAGUUGUUUUCCGGGGCAGCAACGUAGUUUCACGAGUUUUGUUGUUGACAAACGUUUUAUAAGGCCCAGUUCGAUGCUGGAUUUGCACAUCAUUUGAUACUGAAGAUGGAGUGACCCUAGCUAUAAAAGACAGAGCCGAAGGGACUAGGUGUAGCCGGAGGAGUGGCGUCCCAAGGCAGUGGAUGGUCAAUGACAGACCAAGGUGGAACCUGACAGAGCCGGAGGGAUGAGGUGUAGAUGGAGGAGUGGAGUCCCAAGGUGACUGGUGGUCAACGACAGACCAAGGCCCCUGUGCCGAUCUCUAUAGCCGGCUCUCGCACCUGGUCUGACGUCUCUCUGUGUUGGUCUGGUAUUCUGUCACAUGACUGCUGUUAGGGAGUGAAGGCACAAUGAAGAUUAUAGCAAAAAAUCCUUUUAAUGUUAAUCUACACGAAGAAGAGGAUCUAGCACACAGGGUAACAUCAACAAACACUAAACAGAACAAAACUUAUGUAGGUCACUGUAGCCAUACGGAUCCAGUCUGUAUCCAGAUCAGAUGUUGGAUCAGCACCUAGAGACGACCUCUACCGCAAGUCAAAUAAAGUAAUCUUUAUUGAUAUAGAGCUUUAUACAGUACAGAUUGUGUCAAAGCCCUGAAUGGCAGCAGAGACCAUGUCAACUAGAUGAACCCCAAAGUCAGAUUCUCUGCAAAGACCUCGUCAACUAGACAACCAUCGGCACAAGACCAUGAGAAUCAGAUGAGUCCUCUACAAAACUCUGACUUGUGUUGCAGCCUGGAAUUAAACCACACCAUGCUGGUUUCGUCUGGCCAGAGGAGAACUGGCCCCCCUGACUGAGCCUGGUUUCUCUCAAGGAUUUUUUUCUCCAUUUCUGUCUAUGGAGUUUUGGUUCCUUGCCACUGUCGCCUUUGGCUUGCUUAGUUGGGGAAACUUAGUUUCUGGCAAUAUUGUCGACUUGAUUGCACAGAUACUUUUUGAACUGAACUAAGCUGGACCAUCACUGAAUCAAAAAAAAAAAAAAAGUGUUUACUAUUGUCCUCUUGCAUUAUUG
ensembl:lncRNA